ensembl:processed_transcript
CACAACACUGAAAUGAAGGCGAAGUCACCAUGAAAAGUUAAACGUUUACCGUUAAGGUGUACCUGAGCUACAGUAAUUGAUGUUAAAAAACUGAUGCUACCAAUCACUCCUCACUUGAUUGUUCAAGGUAAUGUUGAUGUCUUCCUCAUUUUUAUUAGAUUUUGAAAUGUCAAGUUGUUCACAGAUUUGUUGUGAGGAGUUUCAUGUAAAACCUCUUUUUCUUCUUCCAGCAGUUCCUAAGAUAAAAAAAAAUCUGGUGUUAAAACACCAGUCUUUGUUUAUUAGCAAUUUUACUGGGCGUAUGGAACUGGAAACUGUAAGUUUAGUUCAAUAUGUUAUUUUAUGCUAUUCAUUUUUGUUUUAACAUGGAUUGCAUGGUGAAGCUAUCGUUUUAUAGUGGGAAAAUUGUAAAAGAGAAUCACUGAAUACAAUGGCAUAAUGAUUCUGCUUGUUCACAGAAGGUACUUGAUUUAGUUUUCCUCAAGCGACACAUCAGUUUUUAUGACUAUUGCUUGACACUUGAAUUGAAGGGACAGUUCACCCAAAAAUGAAAAUAAUAGCAUCUUUGGCAUCCUCCACUUGUUUCAAAAUAGUUAUAUAUUUAUUUUGUUCCAUUGAACACAAACUCGUAUUUUUUAAAGAAAUUUGG